CCCUUAGAUGUUCUGGGCCGCACACGCGCUACACUGAAGGAGGCAGCGUGUACUCCUGGAUCGAAAGAUUUGGGUAACCCGCGAAUCUCCUUCGUGCUAGGGAUUGAGGUUUGCAAUUAUCCUUCAUGAACGAGGAAUUCCCAGUAAGUGCAAGUCAUAAGCUUGCGCUGUCUACGUCCCUGCCCUUUGUACACACCGCCCGUCGCUACUACCGAUUGAAUGAUUUAGUGAGGACUUCGGACUGGGACCGAUGCGGCUUUCGGGCUGCGUCGGUAUUCUGGAAAGAUGUCCAAACUGUAUCAUUUAGAGGAAGUAAAAGUCGUAACA
rnacentral:rRNA from 1 species